GAGAAAGAACAGAAAAUAAUAAGUUCUGCUAAUACUUAUAAACCAUGGUUAAACUCCACGGCUUCCUCG
rnacentral:tRNA from 1 species